UCUCCUAGGGGAUCCUGUUAAAUUCAGAUUUCUGAUUCUUUAGAUCAGGAGUGAGGCCUGAGAUUCUGAAUUUUUAACAAGUUCCCAG
rnacentral:miRNA from 1 species